AUCCUCCUCUGAUGGACUUUGCAGCACUGCUUCCCUUCAUGCCUUCCCGUGCCUCUCUUGCCUUUGGGCAGGAAGGAGGUGUCACUAGUGAGAAGAACUGGCUUUAAAGAAAUCUCUUGCUUCACAAGUCAGAUGAGGAUGUUUUUGCUGCAUCUCUGGUGAAAUUUCUUCCCUUCAAGAAAAUGUGGUUCUACUGGAUGCAGAAAGCCUUUAGCUCAUGGUAGAAGACCUAGCCUCCGAACUACCAGAAUGGCUUGGGAAGAGGAGCAGCCACUGAAGCAGGGGCACAGAAAAGGCCUUGUACUCUCUUGAGAGGAUGGUGCAAGGAACAGCCAGCUCAAGUGCCAAGGUAGCUCAGGUAGAAAGCUGCAAACCGCAGGAAUUAAUCUUCGCUGCCAAAGGCUUCCCUGCUAAGGACUGGUCUGGAUUGGAGGGUGUGCUUGAAGCUGCAGACUGUAUGUGAGCAGGGGCACUCCCAGGUAAGCUUGAAAAGAUGUGGAUUGCAGCAGGGCAUAUACCAC
rnacentral:lncRNA from 1 species